rnacentral:rRNA from 1 species
UACGGAGGGUGCAAGCGUUAAUCGGAAUUAUUGGGCGUAAAGGGCGCGUAGACGGGAAGGCAAGUCAGAUGUUAAAGCCCGGGGCUUAACCCCGGAAAAGCAUUUGAAACUGCCUUUCUUGAGGAUAGAUGGAGAAAACGGAAUUCCACAAGUAGCGGUGAAAUGCGUAGAUAUGUGGAAGAACACCGGUGGCGAAGGCGGUUUUCUAAUUUAUUCCUGACGUUGAGGCGCGAAAGCUAGGGGAGCAAACAGG